rnacentral:misc_RNA from 1 species
AACGCACGAGACCUGCGGACCUGCGGAGGGAUCAUUAGUGAACGCCCUCACGGGCUUAUAACUAUUCCAAACCUCUGUGAACCGUGCCCUUCGGGGCUAUUUUACAAACAUGGUGUAAUGAACGUCGUAUAUCAUAACAAAACAAAACUUUCAGCAACGGAUCUCU